GGGGAGCCGAAGGGAAACCGAGUCUUAACUGGGCGUUAAGUUGCAGGGUAUAGACCCGAAACCCGGUGAUCUAGCCAUGGGCAGGUUGAAGGUUGGGUAACACUAACUGGAGGACCGAACCGACUAAUGUUGAAAAAUUAGCGGAUGACUUGUGGCUGGGGGUGAAAGGCCAAUCAAACCGGGAGAUAGCUGGUUCUCCCCGAAAGCUAUUUAGGUAGCGCCUCGUGAAUUCAUCUCCGGGGGUAGAGCACUGUUUCGGCAAGGGGGUCAUCCCGACUUACCAACCCGAUGCAAACUGCGAAUACCGGAGAAUGUUAUCACGGGAGACACACGGCGGGUGCUAACGUCCGUCGUGAAGAGGGAAACAACCCAGACCGCCAGCUAAGGUCCCAAAGUCAUGGUUAAGUGGGAAACGAUGUGGGAAGGCCCAGACAGCCAGGAUGUUGGCUUAGAAGCAGCCAUCAUUUAAAGAAAGCGUAAUAGCUCACUGGUCGAGUCGGCCUGCGCGGAAGAUGUAACGGGGCUAAACCAUGCACCGAAGCUGCGGCAGCGACGCUGAUGCGUUGUUGGGUA
rnacentral:rRNA from 1 species